rnacentral:rRNA from 1 species
UACGUAGGGGGCUAGCGUUGUCCGGAAUCAUUGGGCGUAAAGAGCGCGUAGGCGGCCAGAUAAGUCCGGUGUGAAAGUCAAAGGCUCAACCUUUGAAUGCCGCUGGAAACUGUCUGGCUAGAGUCCGGGAGGGGCGAGUGGAAUUCCUGGUGUAGCGGUGAAAUGCGCAGAUAUCAGGAGGAACACCAAUGGCGAAGGCAGCUCGCUGGAACGGUACUGACGCUGAGGCGCGAAAGCGUGGGGAGCGAACGGG